rnacentral:rRNA from 1 species
UACGUAGGGGGCAAGCGUUAUCCGGAUUUACUGGGUGUAAAGGAAGCGUAGACGGCUUGGUAAGUCUGAUGUGAAAGCCCGGGGCUCAACUCCGGGACUGCAUUGGAAACUACUUGGCUAGAGUGCAGGAGAGGUAAGUGGAAUUCCUAGUGUAGCGGUGAAAUGCGUAGAUAUUAGGAGGAACACCAGUGGCGAAGGCGACUUACUGGACUGUUACUGACGUUGAGGCUCGAAAGCGUGGGGAGCAAACAGG